rnacentral:rRNA from 1 species
AACGAACGCUGGCGGCAUGCCUACCACAUGCAAGUCGAACGAGACCUUCGGGUCUAGUGCCGCACGGCUGCGUAACGCGUGGGAACCUGCCCUUAGGUUCGGAAUCACUCCCCGAAAGGGGUGCCAAUCCCGGAUAAUGUCUUCGGCCCAAAGCUUUAUCGCCCUUGGAUGGGUCCGCGUAGGAUUAGCUAGUUGGUAGGGUAAAAGCCUACCAAGGCGACGAUCCAUAGCGGGUCUGAGAGGAUGAGCAGCCACACUGGGACUGACACACGGCCCAGACUCCUACGUGAGGCAGCAGUGGGGAAUAUUGGACAAUGGGCGAGAGCCUGAUCCAGCAAUGCCGCGUGAGUGAUGAAGGCCUUAGGGUGGUAAAGCUCUUUUACCCGGGAUGAUAAUGACAGUACCGGGAGAAUAAGCACCGGCUAGCUCCGUG